rnacentral:rRNA from 1 species
GCACUUUAAGCAGUGAAGAAGACUCCGUGGUUAAUACCCACGGAUGAUGACAUUAGCUGCAGAAUAAGCACCGGCUAACUCUGUGCCAGCAGCCGCGGUAAUACAGAGGGUGCAAGCGUUAAUCGGAAUUACUGGGCGUAAAGGGAGCGUAGGUGGCUCUAUAAGUCAGAUGUGAAAUCCCCGGGCUCAACCUGGGAACUGCAUCUGAAACUGUAGAGCUAGAGUAUGUGAGAGGAAGGUAGAAUUCCAGGUGUAGCGGUGAAAUGCGUAGAGAUCUGGAGGAAUACCGAUGGCGAAGGCAGCCUUCUGGCAUAAUACUGACACUGAGGCUCGAAAGCGUGGGUAGCAAACAGGAUUAGAUACCCUGGUAGUCCACGCCGUAAACGAUGUCUACUAGUCGUUGG